rnacentral:rRNA from 1 species
GAAUAGUGGACAAUGGGCGAAAGCCUGAUCCAGCCAUGCCGCGUGUGUGAAGAAGGUCUUCGGAGUGUAAACCACUAUAAGUGGGGAGGAAGGGCAGGAAGCGAAUACCUUGCUGUUUUGACUUUACCGACAGAAAAAGCACCGGCUAACUCUGUCCCAGCAGCCGCGGUAAUACAGAGGGUGCAAGCGUUAAUCGGAAUUACUGGGCGUAAAGCGCGCGUAGGUGGUUCGUUAAGUUGGAUGUGAAAUCCCCGGGCUCAACCUGGGAACUGCAUCCAAAACUGGCGAGCUAGAGUAGGGCAGAGGGUGGUGGAAUUUCCUGUGUAGCGGUGAAAUGCGUAGAUAUAGGAAGGAACACCAGUGGCGAAGGCGACCACCUGGGCUAAUACUGACACUGAGGUGCGAAAGCGUGGGGAGCAAACA